CCCUUAGAUGUCCUGGGCCGCACGCGCGCUACACUGAUGCAUGCAACGAGUUUAUAACCUUGGCCUGAAAGGUCUGGGUAAUCUUUUGAACGUGCAUCGUGAUAGGGAUAGACUAUUGCAAUUAUUGGUCUUCAACGAGGAAUUCCUAGUAGACGUAGUUCAUCAGACUGCAUCGAUUACGUCCCUGCCCUUUGUACACACCGCCCGUCGCUCCUACCGAUUGGAUGGUCCGGUGAGCUAUUUGGACCGCUGACUCUUCAGUUCUCUGAGUUGACAGUGGAAAAUCUCGCAAACCUUAUCAUCUAGAGGAAGGAGAAGUCGUAACA
rnacentral:rRNA from 1 species